UCCUCGAUAGCUCAGUUGGUAGAGCAACGGACUGUUAAUCCGUUUGUCGUUGGUUCGAACCCAACUCGAGGAGCCA
rnacentral:tRNA from 1 species